rnacentral:rRNA from 1 species
GACGAACGCUGGCGGCGUGCUUAACACAUGCAAGUCGAACGGAAAGGCCCUACUUUUGUGGGGUGCUCGAGUGGCGAACGGGUGAGUAACACGUGAGUAACCUGCCCUUGACUUUGGGAUAACUUCAGGAAACUGGGGCUAAUACCGGAUAGGAGCUCCUGCUGCAUGGUGGGGGUUGGAAAGUUUCGGCGGUUGGGGAUGGACUCGCGGCUUAUCAGCUUGUUGGUGGGGUAGUGGCUUACCAAGGCUUUGACGGGUAGCCGGCCUGAGAGGGUGGCCGGCCACAUUGGGACUGAGAUACGGCCCAGACUCCUACGGGAGGCAGCAGUGGGGAAUAUUGCACAAUGGGCGGAAGCCUGAUGCAGCAACGCCGCGUGCGGGAUGACGGCCUUCGGGUUGUAAACCGCUUUCGCCUGUGACGAAGCGUGAGUGACGGUAAUGGGUAAAGAAGCACCGGCUAACUACGUG